rnacentral:SRP_RNA from 1 species
UGUCGGGCCCUGUGCAGCGGUGUGCUGUGAACCCCGUCAGGUCCGGGAGGAAGCAGCGGUAAGCAGUUACACCGGGUGCCGCAGGUACACCCGGCAGCC